AUACGGAGGGUGCGAGCGUUAAUCGGAAUUACUGGGCGUAAAGCGUACGCAGGCGGUUGGUUAAGCGAGAUGUGAAAUCCCCGGGCUCAACCUGGGAACUGCAUUUCGAACUGGCCAACUAGAGUAUGAGAGAGGGUGGUAGAAUUUCAGGUGUAGCGGUGAAAUGCGUAGAGAUCUGAAGGAAUACCGAUGGCGAAGGCAGCCACCUGGUUCAAUACUGACGCUCAUGUACGAAAGCGUGGGGAGCAAACAGGAUUAGAAACCCCGGUAGUCC
rnacentral:rRNA from 1 species